rnacentral:rRNA from 1 species
UACGGGGGGAGCAAGCGUUGUUCGGAUUUACUGGGCGUAAAGGGCGCGUAGGCGGUCAGCACAAGUCAGUUGUGAAAUCUCCGGGCUUAACUCGGAAAGGUCAACUGAUACUGUGCGGCUAGAGUGCAGAAGGGGCAACUGGAAUUCCCGGUGUAGCGGUGAAAUGCGCAGAUAUCGGGAGGAACACCAAUGGCGAAGGCAGCUCGCUGGGACGUGACUGACGCUGAGACGCGAAAGCGUGGGGAGCAAACAGGG